GUUUCUAUAGUUGAAUAACAACGAUGAUUU
rnacentral:tRNA from 1 species